rnacentral:rRNA from 1 species
GCAAGUCUACUUGAAUUCACUUCGGUGAUAGUAAGGUGGCGGACGGGUGAGUAACACGUAAAGAACUUGCCUUAUAGUCUGGGACAACUAUUGGAAACGAUAGCUAAUACCGGUUAUUAUGAUUGCUCCGCUUGAGAGGUUAUGUAAGCUAUAUGCGCUAUAAGAGAGCUUUGCGUCCCAUUAGCUUGUUGGUGAGGUAACGGCUCACCAAGGCCACGAUGGGUAGCCGGCCUGAGAGGAUGAAC